UUUUUAUUGGUUCGAAACACUGAAAGAGCUGCUUUGGAAAAUGAUUCUCAUGGUGGUUUUAUGUUUCCAGUUUUAUCACAGCAGCGGCGAAUUGUCCAGACAUGACCUUAUCCACCAAUUAAUUGAUGAGUCCCACUACGAUCCAAUGAUUGCCCCGAACUAUGAAGAUGGUAAGAUUUUCCGACGAACAUUUCUGUCCAAAUGCUCAUAAAGAACAUUCACAGUCUUGAUGAACUUCAUAUGGAUUUUUCAGUAGAUAUCAUAUUCAGACAACGAUGGACAGACAAGCGUCUCAAAUUCAACCAUUCAACGGUCAGGGUUUUGGAACUCGAUCAGAAGAUGAUAGAGAGAAUAUGGGUUCCAGAUUCUUUCUUUCCACAAGAAAAGCGAGCUGAAAUUCAUGACGUCACCGUCCCAAAUCGCUUACUUCAUAUUUAUAGAAAUGGAACGGUAUUUUAUAGUAUGAGAAUAGAAAUGACACUCUCCUGCGCAAUGGCUCUACAAAACUAUCCGUUGGAUCGUCAAGUAUGUCCAAUAUCGAUUGAAAGUUACAGUUACACGAGAGAAAACAUCGAUUUUUACUGGGAACGUCACAACCCUGUCCUUAUUCCAUCGAUAUCUCUCCCCCAGUUCACCAUGCCAGACACAGUCAAAACAUCAGCAUGUUCGACGGAGUACGGGGAAGUUGGAGACUUCGCUUGUUUACUUGUUGAAUUACAGUUUGAUAGAAACACUGGAUACUACAUCGCCCAAAUUUUUAUUCCAAGCAUUCUUAUAGUAAUUCUAUCAUGGGUGUCGUUUUGGGUUGAUAUAGACGCCAUUCCUGCGCGUGUCUCGCUAGGUGUCCUCACAGUUCUUACCAUGACAACGCAGAGUUCCGGUGCACGAAGCGCUUUACCGAGGGUGUCUUACAUCAAAGCCAUAGAUGUUUGGAUGGCAGUUUGUCUCACCUUUGUUUUUAUGGCUCUUUUGGAGUUUGCCUACAUCAACGUUGUUUCGCGGAGAAAUUCCAAACCUAUUCGCACUGCGUCACAAUGUGAUAAAGCAUUAAAUAAAGGAACAUCACCAUCGCCAAUGAUGCCCAUCCUGAGACACAUCGAUUUUAUAAAGAGGGCUCGACAGGUGGAUAAAGUAGCCCGAGUUGUAUUUCCUCUUAUCUUCUUCCUGUUCAAUAUUGGGUUUUGGGUGUUCUAUCUAAGCAUUAACACGGACAACAAAUUUUGAUAGCAAUUGCUUUCUAAACAUUUACCUAAGACAACGACAUGUGGUAUCAACAAGAAAAUAUUUGACGCCUUGUGUUCAAAACACAAUUACUGGGAUAUAGAUUCCGGUCUGGCCACUUUUUAUUCAAACGAACAUAGAGAUACCCCAAAACAAGGUUGGCCACUUGAGGACCUGAUGCAAGCAAGACUAAAAAUCCCGGUUUUUACACCAUUUAUACAUGUCGAACAUUACAUUUUGUACUUUUUUCAAUUUUUGUCUUUUUGAGAGAUUACUCUUUUCUAUGUAUUGUCUGCUGCUUCGAUUUUAUUAAUAUUACCAACCUAUUCAGUAUGAAUGUUGUUUUCGUGAAAUGACUGAAAAUUGGACAGAAGUUCCGAGAAUGCCAUUCGAUGACAUACGGCGCAUUUUUAAAAUACAAAACAUGUAACGAAUUGAAGUCAAUUUGAGAUUUAAGUAAAUAUUUAAUUCUUGUAAUUCUUGUUAUAUUUCAACUUUCUAUUUAAUUGAAUUCUUUUCUUGGGCAGAAUAUUUAAAUAUAUGCGGGAAAAUUGC
rnacentral:misc_RNA from 1 species